rnacentral:rRNA from 1 species
GAUGGGGGCCUUAUGGCCCGAUAUCCGGUGAUCCCGGCUGCCGAGAAAAGCUUCGGCGUCAGGCUCAAAGCCGCCCGUACCCCAAACCGGCACUGGUGGUCAGGUAGAGAAUACCAAAGCGAUCGAGCGAAUCCUGGUCAAGGAACUCGGCAAAUCACUCCCGUUCCUUCGGUUUAAGGGAGACCCCCGAUGGUGAACACACUUGCUGUGGGAGCUUUUGGGGGUGGCACAGACCAGGGGGUAGCGACUGUUUACCAAAAACACAGGCGCAUGCGAAGGCGCAAGCCGCUGUAUAUGCACUGACGCCUGCCCGGUGCCGGAAGGUUAAGAGGAUCCGUCAGCCUUCGGGUGAAGCGGUGAAUUCAAGCCCCGGUAAACGGCGGUGGUAACAAUAACCAUCCUAAGGUAGCGAAAUUCCUUGUCGGGUAAGUUCCGACCUGCACGAAUGGCGUAACGACUUCCCCACUGUCUCGACCAGGAGCUCGGCGAAAUUGCAGUACGAGUAAAGAUGCUCGUUAAGCGCAGAAGGACGAAAAGACCCCGGGACCUUUACUAUACCUUGGUAUUGGCAUUCGGUGUGGAUUGUGUAGCAUAGGCGGGAGGCCGAGAGGCGCGGUCGCCAGAUCGCGCGGAGCCGUAAGGUGAAAUACCGCUCUGUUCGCAUUGGAUGUCUAACCUCGAACAGUCAUCCUGUUCAGGGACAGUGCCUGGCGGGUAGUUUAACUGGGGCGGUUGCCUCCCAAAGAGUAACGGAGGCGCCCAAAGGUCCGCUCAGCCCGGUUGGCAAUCGGGUGGCGAGUGCAAGUGCACAAGCGGGCUUGACUGCGAGGACGACGGUCCGAGCAGGGACGAAAGUCGGGACUAGUGAUCCGGUGCCGGUGUACGGACGCGGCAUCGCUCAACGGAUAAAAGGUACCCCGGGGAUAACAGGCUGAUCAUUCCCAAGAGUCCAUAUCGACGGGAUGGUUUGGCACCUCGAUGUCGGCUCGUCGCAUCCUGGGGCUGGAGCAGGUCCCAAGGGUUCGGCUGUUCGCCGAUUAAAGCGGCACGCGAGCUGGGUUCAGAACGUCGUGAGACAGUUUGGUCUCUAUCCUCUGCGCUCAUUGGAAUGCUGAGGAGGCCUGCCCAUAGUACGAGAGGACCUGGGUGGACGAACCUCUGGUAUGCCGGUUGUCACGCCAGUGGCACGGCCGGUUGGCUACGUUCGGAAGGGAUAACCGCUGAAAGCAUCUAAGCGGGAAGCCUGCUCCAAGAUAAGCAUUCCGUGGAACCUUCGAGUUCCUGUAGUCCCCAUGCAGAACACGUGGUCGAUAGGCCGGACGUGGAAGCCCCGCGAGGGGUGGAGCCGACCGGUACUAACGGACGAAAGGCAACACCAA